rnacentral:rRNA from 1 species
UGAAUACGAGACGCUAAGGCGUCGAAGUAGUGUAUGUCAUACUUCCAAGAAAAGCUUGCACUGUCAUAGAUAAAAAACGCCUGUACCAUAACCGACACAGGUGGGUAGGUAGAGUAUACUAAGGGGCGCGAGAUAACUCUCUCUAAGGAACUCGGCAAAAUAACUCCGUAACUUCGGGAGAAGGAGUGCCUUAUUCUUAAGGUUGCAAUAACAAGAUCCAAGCAACUGUUUAUCAAAAACACAGGUCUCCGCUAAGUCGUAAGACGAUGUAUGGGGGCUGACGCCUGCCCAGUGCCAGAAGGUUAAAGAAGCUGGUUAGCAUUUGCGAAGCUAGUAACUGAAGCCCUGGUGAACGGCGGCCGUAACAAUAACGGUCCUAAGGUAGCGAAAUUCCUUGUCGGGUAAGUUCCGACCCGCACGAAAGGCGUAAUGAUUUGGAUACUGUCUCGGAGAGGGGCUCGGUGAAAUAGACUUGUCUGUGAAGAUGCGGACUACCUGCACCAGGACAGAAAGACCCUAUGAAGCUUUACUGUAACUUGAAAUUGAAAUUGGACUUUAUUCGCGCAGUAUAGGUGGGAGGCGUUGAUUAUAAUCUUGCGGGAUUAUUGGAGCCAUUAGUAAGAUACCACUCUUGUAAUGUUAGAUUUCUAACUUUGAAUCAUUAUCUGGUCAAAGAACAGUUUCAGGCGGGCAGUUUGACUGGGGCGGUCGCCUCCUAAACGGUAACGGAGGCGUACAAAGGUUUCCUCUGAACGGUUAGAAAUCGUAUCUAGAGUGUAAAGGCAUAAGGAAGCUUGACUGUGAGACCUACAAGUCGAGCAGGGACGAAAGUCGGUCUUAGUGAUCUGACGGUACUGAGUGGAAAGGCCGUCACUCAACGGAUAAAAGUUACUCUAGGAUAACAGGCUGAUCUCCCCCAAGAGUUCACAUCGACGGGGAGGUUUGGCACCUCGAUGUCGGCUCAUCGCAUCCUGGGGCGGUAGUACGUCCCAAGGGUUGGGCUGUUCGCCCAUGAAAGCGGUACGCGAGCUGGGUUCAGAACGUCGUGAGACAGUUCGGUCCAUAUCCGGUGUAGGCGUUAGAAUAUUGAGAGGAGCCUUCUUUAGUACGUGGGGACCGAGAAGGACAUACCUCUGGUGUACCAGUUAUCGUGCCAACGGUAAACGCUGGGUAGCUAUGUAUGGAGUGGAUAACCGCUGAAAGCAUCUAAGUGGGAAGCCCACCCCAAGAUAAGUAUUCUCC